rnacentral:tRNA from 1 species
GCCCGGUUAGCUCGGUAGAGCAUCAGACUUUUAAUCUGAGGGUCAAGGGUUCAAGUCCCUUAUCGGGCG